rnacentral:tRNA from 1 species
GACUCUGUAGCUCAGUUGGUUAGAGCACACGGCUGUUACAAAUUUCAAAAGAGAUUUGAAGAAACCGUGGGGUCGGAGGUUCGAGUCCUCCCAGAGUCG